rnacentral:rRNA from 1 species
UGGGGAAUAUUGCACAAUGGGCGCAAGCCUGAUGCAGCCAUGCCGCGUGUAUGAAGAAGGCCUUCGGGUUGUAAAGUACUUUCAGUCGGGAGGAAGGUGGUAAGGUUAAUAACCUUAUCAAUUGACGUUACCGACAGAAGAAGCACCGGCUAACUCCGUGCCAGCAGCCGCGGUAAUACGGAGGGUGCAAGCGUUAAUCGGAAUUACUGGGCGUAAAGCGCACGCAGGCGGUUGAUUGAGUCAGAUGUGAAAUCCCCGGGCUUAACCCGGGAAUUGCAUCUAAUACUGGUCAGCUAGAGUCUUGUAGAGGGGGGUAGAAUUCCAUGUGUGGCGGUGAAAUGCGUAGAGAUGUAGAGGAAUGCCGGUGGCGGAGGCGGCCCCCUGGACAAAGACUGACGCUCAGGUGCGAAAGCGUGGGGAGCAAACAGG